CAUAUCAAUAAGCGGAGGAAAAGAAACCAACAGGGAUUGCCCUAGUAACGGCGAGUGAAGCGGCAACAGCUCAAAUUUGAAAUCUGGCCCUCGUGGUCCGAGUUGUAAUUUGUAGAGGAUGCUUUUGGUUAGGUGCCUUCCGAGUUCCCUGGAACGGGACGCCAUAGAGGGUGAGAGCCCCGUCUGGUUGGACACCGAGCCUCUGUAAAGCUCCUUCGACGAGUCGAGUAGUUUGGGAAUGCUGCUCUAAAUGGGAGGUAUAUGUCUUCUAAAGCUAAAUAUUGGCCAGAGACCGAUAGCGCACAAGUAGAGUGAUCGAAAGAUGAAAAGCACUUUGAAAAGAGGGUUAAAAAGUACGUGAAAUUGUUGAAAGGGAAGCGCUUGUGACCAGACUUGGGCCCGGUCAAUCAUCCAGGGUUCUCCCUGGUGCACUUGGCCGGCCCAGGCCAGCAUCAGUUUGUCGCGGGGGAUAAAGACGUUGGGAAUGUGGCUCCUCCGGGAGUGUUAUAGCCCUUCGUGUAAUACCCUGCUUCGGACUGAGGUUCGCGCAUCUGCAAGGAUGCUGGCGUAAUGGUCAUCAGCGACCCGUCUUGAAACACGGACCAAGGAGUCGUCUUCGUAUGCGAGUGUUCGGGUGUCAAACCCCUACGCGUAAUGAAAGUGAACGCAGGUGAGAGCUUCGGCGCAUCAUCGACCGAUCCUGAUGUUCUCGGAUGGAUUUGAGUAAGAGCAUACGGGGCCGGACCCGAAAGAAGGUGAACUAUGCCUGUAUAGGGUGAAGCCAGAGGAAACUCUGGUGGAGGCUCGCAGCGGUUCUGACGUGCAAAUCGAUCGUCAAAUAUGGGCAUGGGGGCGAAAGACUAAUCGAACCUUCUAGUAGCUGGUUUCCGC
rnacentral:rRNA from 1 species